rnacentral:rRNA from 1 species
CGAGCGAGACGCACUAAAGCGAAGGCACUUGCCAAGAGUGUUUUCAUUAAUCAAGAACGAAAGUCAGAGGUUCGAAGGCGAUUAGAUACCGCUUUAGUUUUGACCGUAAACGCUGCCAACUGUCGAUUCGUUUGUGGAUUUUAUUCAUAAGCGAGGAGAUUCUCGGAAACGAAAGUUUUUCGGUUCCGGGGGAAGUAUGGUUGCAAAACUGAAACUUAAAGGAAUUGACGGAAGGGCACCACCAGGAGUGGAGCUUGCGGCUUAAUUUGACUCAACACGGGGAAACUCACCCGGCCAGUACAUUGUAAGGAUUGACAGAUCGAUAGCUCUUUCAUGAUUCGGUGAAUGGUGGUGCAUGGCCGUUCUUAGUUCGUGGAUUGAUUUGUCUGGUUUAUUCCGAUAACGAGCGAGACUUUGACUAUUAAAUAGUGCUUCUGUUAUUAAUGCAGUUGUACACUUCUUAAAAGAAUUUGGGGUUUCCAACCUCAAGAGAUUGAGCAAUAACAGGUCUGUGAUGCCCUUAGAUGUUCGGGGCCGCACGCGUGCUACAAUGAUGGUAGCAACGUGAUUGUCCGGUUUCGUAAGGAAUUGGCAAACAGUUGAGAUAUUAUUAUGGCUGGAAUUGAGAUUUGAAAUUAUUUCUCAUGAACGAGGAAUUCCAAGUAAAUGCGAGUCAUCAACUCGCAUUGAUUACGUCCCUGCCCUUUGUACACACCGCCCGUCGCUGCCCGGGACUGGGUUUCCUCGAGAAAACUAGGGAUUGUUGUAGUUUAGUAUUUUCGGAUACUAGCUUCGAUGAGAACGAGUUUAAUCGCGGUGGCCUGAACCGGGAA